rnacentral:tRNA from 1 species
UAGCUCAGCUGGUUAGAGCACAUCACUCAUAAUGAUGGGGUCACAGGUUCGAUUCC